CCUACGGGGGGCAGCAGUGAGGAAUAUUGGUCAAUGGGCGAGAGCCUGAACCAGCCAAGUCGCGUGAGGGAAGACGGUCCUAUGGAUUGUAAACCUCUUUUGCCGGGGAGCAAAAAGCGGUACGUGUACCGCAUCGAGAGUACCCGGAGAAAAAGCAUCGGCUAACUCCGUGCCAGCAGCCGCGGUAAUACGGAGGAUGCGAGCGUUAUCCGGAAUUACUGGGUGUAAAGGGAGCGUAGACGGCGAGGUAAGCCUGAAGUGGAAGCCCGCGGCCCAACCGCGGAACUGCUUUGGGAACUGUUUUGCUGGAGUAUGGGAGGAGUAAGCGGAAUUCCUGGUGUAGCGGUGAAAUGCGUAGAUAUCAGGAGGAACACCGGUGGCGAAGGCGGCUUACUGGACCAUAACUGACGUUGAGGCUCGAAAGCGUGGGGAGCGAACAGGAUUAGAUACCCGAGUAGUC
rnacentral:rRNA from 1 species